GUUUCCUGUAAGAUGGGCCUGAUGGUAACUACCCACCGGGCUGGUUCUGCCGACGACGAGAGGAGCUGCCCGACACACUGCAAGGCACCAGCGAACAGCGAGCCUUCACCAUCUGAGGACACAGAGAGAAGGCAAGAUGGUGGUUGUUUGCAAGUCAGUUAGAGAGGUCUCACCAGGGACCAAAUGUUCUGGCAUCCUGAUCUUGAAAUUCCCAGUCUCCAGGACUGUAAGAGGAAUUUCGUCAAUUCCCGCGGCUCUCACAUCUGGACAGUGGCUGAGGUGCCAUCCGCAAGAAUGGAUACAUUGCUCAAAGGGCAGUCAUCUCUGUCAGCUCUAGGUCUAAAUACCUGGAAGGAGACUAAACUGAUAACCAAGAUUGUACCUGAGGAGACAUGUGAAACCAGAGCAUCAUCAAGGGACUGUUAGUUCUAUCACUGCUUGAUUUUUUUUUUAAUGAUGAAAAUGUGUGCAG